AGGGCACCACCAGGAGUGGAGCCUGCGGCUUAAUUUGACUCAACACGGGGAAACUCACCCGGCCCGGACACCGUAAGGAUUGACAGAUUGAUAGCUUUUUCAUGAUUCGGUGGAUGGUGGUGCAUGGCCGUUCUUAGUUCGUGGAGCGAUUUGUCUGGUUUAUUCCGAUAACGAGCGAGACUCUAGCCUACUAAAUAGUUCGCACAUUGUCUCUGUGUGUGUGACUUCUUAGAGGGAUUUUCGGUGUUCAGCCGCACGAAAUUGAGCAAUAACAGGUCUGUGAUGCCCUUAGGUGUCCGGGGCUGCACGCGCGCUACACUGGCAAAAUCAGCGUGCUUGUCCUUCCCCGAAAGGGGUUGGUAAACCCUUGAAAAUUUGCCGUGAUUGGGAUUGGAAAUUGCAAUUAUUUUCCAUGAACGAGGAAUUCCAAGUAAGUGCGAGUCAUCAGCUCGCGUUGAUUACGUCCCUGCCCUUUGUACACACCGCCCGUCGCUGCCCGGGACUGAGCCAUUUCGAGAA
rnacentral:rRNA from 1 species